rnacentral:rRNA from 1 species
AUUGAACGCUGGCGGCAUGCUUUACACAUGCAAGUCGAACGGCAGCGCGGGCUUCGGCCUGGCGGCUAGUGGCGAACGGGUGAGUAAUGCAUCUGAACGUGCCCAGUAGUGGGGGAUAGCCCGGCGAAAGCCGGAUUAAUACCGCAUACUACCUGAGGGUGAAAGCGGGGGACCGAAAGGCCUCGCGCUAUUGGAGCGGCCGAUGUCGGAUUAGAUAGUUGGUGGAGUAAAGGCUUACCAAGGCGACGAUCCGUAGCUGGUCUGAGAGGACGACCAGCCACACUGGGACUGAGACACGGACAAGAGUACUACGGGAGGCAGCAGUGGGGAAUUUUGGACAAUGGGGGCGACCCUGGUCCAGCCAUGCCGCGUGCGAGAAGACGGCCUUCGGGUUGUAAACAGCUUUUGUGCGGGAAAAAAUCCUCUGGGCUAAUACCCCGGGGGGAUGACGGUACCGGAAGAAUAAGCACCGGCUAACUACGUG